AAAAGAAGCACCAGGGUUACGAAAUAGCAAGCAUCCUUGCAUCGUGGGAAGUUCACAGGGAAUCCUGAGGGGACAGCAAAGAAAUUGCAUCAGAUGAAGUAGGAAUGUGGAUGCUGGCACAUGAAGCUGCAAUGUAUUCAACUGACAGUGGGCCGUCCCUUGCCCGCUCUGAGCAGCGAACGCCAGAGACGCAAGCAGGAUCUGGUUAGAGAUACAGUGGUGCUUGCGGGAGGUGUGGCAGGCAGGACGGUCGGUGGGAGACUAGAGGCUGUUGGCAUGGAUCUGGACAUGAGGUAAUUGAGAAUCUGGAGUCAAGCAUUAGCACGAGGUGCGGAUGGAGUGACAGGCAUGUGAGAGAUGUCACGGGAGCUGGGAGUCGCCAGGGAUGGCUGCCGGCUACCAGGAUGUGGGUAAGCCCAGACAGCAGGAGGCGAUUGUUUGGAACAGAGGAGCCCAGGGGAACCUCCAUUUCCCCCAACCUUCUGCAAGGUCUCUGUAUCCACGGAGCCCCUCAGUGUCCUCCAGAGGUACCUAGAAAGUCCAGUGUUGCUUUCUUCUCUGACACAAAGUUCUGCUUCUAUUGGAGACGGCUCAUUUGAGGGAAAACAUCGUCUUUGUCUAAAUCAAACGAAGUCUGCUCUGCCCAUGACUAGCACUGUAUCCAAAGGCAUUUUUUUUUUUUAAUUUAAGUGCAACCUACUCUUUGUUGACAUUUGGCUCGGUGCCUGACGCAUAGCAGAUGCUCAGUAAUGAGGACUAAUGAGUUGUGCCUGUAGUGCCAGGGGUGUGUUAAUGAACCCCAAAGACCAGAUAGGAACUGAUUCGGUGCAAUCACACCAUGGCCUUUAUUUGAGCUAGCUCGGGCCCCUCAGUCCAACUCCCACACGCAGGACGAUUUUGGUGGAGAGGAGCCUGAACAUCUAUGGGGAGAUGUGGCCUUUGGAAGAUAAUGACGUCGUAAGGGUGGAGCAUCCGUAUGAAAAAGACCCCGGAGAACUCUCAAAUCUCCUUAGUCAUAGGGAGGAUAAUGGAAGAACUGUCCAUGAACCCUCCUUUGACAUCUGCAGAACCUUGAUCUUGGAUUUUCCAGUCUCCAUACUGAGAGAAAUAUGCUUGCCUACAGGAUUCUGAGCCUGCUUCUUCCGGAUCCCGGCAGAUACUGAAGACCAGCUGAGACAUCCAGCCUUGUGGACUGAGCCACUACUGGAUCCUGGGAUUUUCCGCUCACAGCUAGACUUUGUUGAAUUACUUAGCCUGCGGCCUGUAAAUAAAUUCCAUUACUCUAGAGAAUCCUGGCUAAUGUAGUCCCCAAAUACUGAGGUUAUCUUUGUAGUCAUUUCACAGAUGGCCAAGCUAAGGCUCAAAGAGUUGUGUUGCCAGAUGAGGGUUCUUUUAACACAGGACUUACAGUGCUUGAAUCAGAAUAGAUGUAGGAAAAAGCCAGAAUGUGGUCACCCUAGGCUUAACUGAAACCCAGACUAUUUCCAAACCCUUUUCUGGAACCCAAGCACCGCCGUAAAUUGCUCUUGGCUCAGGGAUAGAUGGGGGCAUCUACUGGAGCACCCUGAAGAAUUCAGAGUCCUCUCUGAGUCAGAGGGCAAAGCUAGAUGUGUCAGCUUUGCAAGAUCAGCUCGGGACAGCAAGCUGCUGGCUCCUCAGAGACCACUGGAAAGGCUAGUCUAGGAGCUGACUCUUAAGAGAUGUGGGAGUUCAGUGUACUAGCAUCACCACUUAUA
rnacentral:sRNA from 1 species